rnacentral:piRNA from 1 species
UGGGGAGGUGAUGCCAGGUGAGGAAUGGU